ensembl:lncRNA
GGCAACUUCAGGGAUCUGUGAAAAAAAUUCUCGAGUCCUCCAACAAAAUACUUCAGCAUUUCAAAAGUCUUCCCUAAGUUCAAGGUUUGUUUGGUUCAGUUGAUCUGAAAAACAAUCUAGAUCAAAGGAAUAGAAUCAAGGAUUCAUAUCAGAUCCCUUAAACUUUAUUUUUUUUUCUCAAUGACAGCACUGUCUUAUGCGUCAAAAGAUCAUCACUGGUUGGUGAGUUUUGUGUUGUGGCUUUUUGAUGGUCUCUGUGAAUUGAAUCAGUAGCUGUGGUUCAGUUAAUCAAAGGCAGAGACAAAACCUAUCAUCCCAAGUUGGCAGCCACAGCAGAAAAACAGGGACUUGAGGCGUG